rnacentral:rRNA from 1 species
AGUGAACGCUGGCGGUAGGCCUAACACAUGCAAGUCGAACGGCAGCACAGUAAGAGCUUGCUCUUACGGGUGGCGAGUGGGGGAGGGGUGAGGAAUACAUCGGAAUCUACUUUUUCGUGGGGGAUAACGUAGGGAAACUUACGCUAAUACCGCAUACGACCUACGGGUGAAAGCAGGGGAUCUUCGGACCUUGCGCGAUUGAAUGAGCCGAUGUCGGAUUAGCUAGUUGGCGGGGUAAAGGCCCACCAAGGCGACGAUCCGUAGCUGGUCUGAGAGGAUGAUCAGCCACACCAGAACGGAGACACGGUCCAGACUCCUACGGGAGGCAGCAGUGGGGAAUAUUGUACAAUGGGCGCAAGCCUGAUCCAGCCAUACCGCGUGGGUGAAGAAGGCCUUCGGGUUGUAAAGCCCUUUUGUUGGGAAAGAAAAGCAGCAGGUUAAUACCCCGCUGUUCUGACGGUACCCAAAGAAUAAGCACCGGCUAACUUCGUG